rnacentral:lncRNA from 1 species
UUUGCACAGGCUGCUUUCUCCCCAGAGAACAUAUGCUCUGCACUCUGAAGGAGCAGCGCUGGAAGUUGGAGGAGAACGAAGAUGGUCAUGAUUGAAGGCUCUGCUAUGAGAGGAGACUCUGCCCACAGCAGGCUUUUCCUGGAUAAUUCUGAGCUCUGAUGGUCUGAACCGCACACUGGCUGAAGAACAGAAGGAAAGGCAGAAUCCUUUGCAGGAGAAAGCAAGAGACAUCGUAGAAAUGAACACAGAAACUAGACAAGCCAAGACUGGGCAGCCUCACUGGAAAGAGCUGACAGAAAAAAAGGAACAGAGCAGUUUUGGCAGAAGGCGCUGUGCAAAAGGGCUAGGUGGAGACUG